rnacentral:lncRNA from 1 species
GUCGAUGUCCCAGCCAAGUUCAUCACCAUCCUCUCCUUAAGCUACCUGGGCCGGCAUACCACUCAGGCCGCUGCCCUGCUCCUGGCAGGAGGGGCCAUCUUGGCUCUCACCUUUGUGCCCUUGGACUUGCAGACCGUGAGGACAGUAUUGGCUGUGUUUGGGAAGGGAUGCCUAUCCAGCUCCUUCAGCUGCCUCUUCCUCUACACAAGUGAAUUAUACCCCACAGUCAUCAGGUAGGUAUGGGCGUAAGUAACCUGUGGACCCGCGUGGGAAGCAUGGUGUCCCCGCUGGUGAAAAUCACGGGUGAGGUACAGCCCUUCAUCCCCAAUAUCAUCUACGGGAUCACCGCCCUCCUCGGGGGCAGUGCUGCCCUCUUCCUGCCUGAGACCCUGAAUCAGCCCUUGCCAGAGACUAUCGAAGACCUGGAAAACUGGUCCCUGCGGGCAAAGAAGCCAAAGCAGGAGCCAGAGGUGGAAAAGGCCUCCCAGAGGAUCCCUCUACAGCCUCACGGACCAGGCCUGGGCUCCAGCUGAGGACAACGGAACCCCCUUUCCCUGCCCUCCAGAGACUGAUCCUAGCCAGGCACCUUAGGAGUAUAGGGAGGCCCCAUAUAGGUCCAUCCUCCUAGGAUGAAGCCUUCUGAGAGCUUGGUGAAGGUGUCUCCAUCACCACCACCAGAGCCUCCUGCCCAGCCCUGGCCAGUUCAAAGGUUCAGCCAUCCCUGCCCUUGUUCUCCCUGCAACCCAGGCCCUGCCAUUCUUCUGUCUAGCCCUUCCCCACUGGCCACCUUCCCCCACUGUCCCGGUCCUCUUCCCCUGAGGUCCCCUGAUAUCCCCUGGCUCAGUCCUAACAAGACUGAGUCUUAACAAGAUGAGAAGUCCUCCCCUUCUUGCCUCCCACACUUUUCUUUGAUGGGAGGUUUCAAUAAACAGCGAUAAGAACUCU